AGAAUCAACGCUGGCGGCGUGCCUAACACAUGCAAGUCGAACGAGAAAGUGGAGCAAUCCAUGAGUAAAGUGGCGCACGGGUGAGUAACACGUGACUAACCUACCCUUGAGUGGGGGAUAACCUAGGGAAACCUGGGCUAAUACCGCAUAAUACCUUCGGGUCAAAGGAGCAAUUCGCUUAAGGAGGGGGUCGCGGCCGAUUAGUUAGUUGGCGGGGUAAUGGCCCACCAAGACUGUGAUCGGUAUCCGGCCUGAGAGGGGCGCACGGACACACUGGAACUGAAACACGGUCCAGACUCCUACGGGAGGCAGCAGUGGGGAAUUUGCGCAAUGGGGGAAACCCUGACGCAGCAACGCCGCGUGGAGGAUGAAGUCCCUUGGGACGUAAACUCCUUUCGAUCGGGACGAUUAUGACGGUACCGGAAGAAGAAGCCCCGGCUAACUUCGUGCCAGCAGCCGC
rnacentral:rRNA from 1 species